GUAAGGGUGUGCUGCAAGUUUGUCCCUUUACUUAACUUCCCCUAGAAGAGAGGAAAGAGAACCUUUCUGUGGUGAAGCAUAUGAAGUCUGUCUGGAAGUCCCCGUUUUUGCAGACUGAUGAUGCUGAUACCUCCAGAACAUGACGGUUAUUGAUUUUCCAUCUUGUAUCUCAGAAGAAACCACACAGGUCUGAUGUACCUGUACUUCUCUGCCCCCAGCAGCACAGAUGGCAGCGUUGUGCUCACACUGUGUUCUUGGAUCGUGUGGAGGAAAAGCUUUGCCAGCUGCA